UACGGAGGGGGCUAGCGUUGUUCGGAAUUACUGGGCGUAAAGCGCACGUAGGCGGCUUUGUAAGUUAGAGGUGAAAGCCCAGGGCUUAACCCUGGAAUCGCCUUUAAGACUGCAUCGCUAGAAUUGUGGAGAGGUAAGUGGAAUUCCGAGUGUAGAGGUGAAAUUCGUAGAUAUUCGGAAGAACACCAGUGGCGAAGGCGACUUACUGGACACAUAUUGACGCUGAGGUGCGAAAGCGUGGGGAGCAAACAGG
rnacentral:rRNA from 1 species